GGAGGAUCCGAGCGUUAUCCGGAUUUAUUGGGUUUAAAGGGAGCGUAGGUGGACAGUUAAGUCAGUUGUGAAAGUUUGCGGCUCAACCGUAAAAUUGCAGUUGAUACUGGAUGUCUUGAGUGCAGUUGAGGCAGGCGGAAUUCGUGGUGUAGCGGUGAAAUGCUUAGAUAUCACGAAGAACUCCGAUUGCGAAGGCAGCCUGCUAAGCUGCAACUGACGCUGAAGCUCGAAAGUGCGGGUAUCGAACAGGAUUAGAUACCCUGGUAGUCCGCACGGUAAACGAUGGAUGCCCGCUGUUGGUCUGAAUAGGUCAGCGGCCAAGCGAAAGCAUUAAGCAUCCCACCUGGGGAGUACGCCGGCAACGGUGAAACUCAAAGGAAUUGACGGCCGUCAAUUCCUUUGAGUUUACGGGUGAUGGUAUUACCG
rnacentral:rRNA from 1 species